UACGAAGGUCCCGAGCGUUAUCCGGAUUUAUUGGGUGUAAAGGGUGCGUAGGCGGAUUAUUAAGUCAGUGGUGAAAGCCUUCAGCUUAACUGAAGAAUUGCCAUUGAUACUGAUGAUCUUGAGUACGAUUGAGGUAGGCGGAAUGUGUCAUGUAGCGGUGAAAUGCUUAGAUAUGACACAGAACACCGAUUGCGAAGGCAGCUUACUAAGUCGUAACUGACGCUGAUGCACGAAAGCGUAGGGAGCAAACAGG
rnacentral:rRNA from 1 species